rnacentral:rRNA from 1 species
GACGAACCGUGCGAACGUUGUUCGGAAUCACUGGGCUUAAAGGGCGCGUAGGUGGUUUGCCAAGUCGGGGUUGAAAUCUUUCGGCUUAACCGGAAAAGUGGCUUCGAUACUGGCAAGCUGGAGGGAGGUAGGGGCGGAUGGAACUUCCGGUGGAGCGGUGAAAUGUGUUGAUAUCGGAAGGAACGCCGGUGGCGAAAGCGAUCCGCUGGACCUCUUCUGACACUGAGGCGCGAAAGCCAGGGGAGCGAACAGG